UACGAAGGUCCCGAGCGUUGUUCGGAAUCACUGGGCGUAAAGGGAGCGUAGGCGGCGCGGUAAGUCAGAUGUGAAAUCCCGGGGCUCAACCCCGAAACUGCAUCCGAUACUGCCGUGCUAGAGGAUUGGAGAGGUAGCUGGAAUUCUUGGUGUAGCAGUGAAAUGCGUGGAUAUCAAGAGGAACACUCGUGGCGAAAGCGAGCUACUGGACAACUCCUGACGCUGAGGCUCGAAGGCCAGGGUAGCGAAAGGG
rnacentral:rRNA from 1 species